rnacentral:rRNA from 1 species
GUGGGGAAUAUUGGACAAUGGGCGAAAGCCUGAUCCAGCCAUGCCGCGUGUGUGAAGAAGGUCUUCGGAUUGUAAAGCACUUUAAGUUGGGAGGAAGGGUAGUAACCUAAUACGUUGCUACUUUGACGUUACCGACAGAAUAAGCACCGGCUAACUUCGUGCCAGCAGCCGCGGUAAUACGAAGGGUGCAAGCGUUAAUCGGAAUUACUGGGCGUAAAGCGCGCGUAGGUGGUUCAGCAAGUUGAAGGUGAAAUCCCCGGGCUCAACCUGGGAACUGCCUCCAAAACUACUGAGCUAGAGUACGGUAGAGGGUAGUGGAAUUUCCUGUGUAGCGGUGAAAUGCGUAGAUAUAGGAAGGAACACCAGUGGCGAAGGCGACUACCUGGACUGAUACUGACACUGAGGUGCGAAAGCGUGGGGAGCAAACAGGAUUAGAUACCCCAGUAGUCC